rnacentral:rRNA from 1 species
UACGUAGGGUGCGAGCGUUAAUUGGAAUUACUGGGCGUAAAGGGCGCGUAGGCGGCCUGCUAAGUCGAACGUGAAAUCCCCGGGCUCAACCCGGGAACUGCGUCCGAUACUGGCAGGCUUGAAUCCGGGAGAGAGAUGUGGAAUUCCAGGUGUAGCGGUGAAAUGCGUAGAUAUCUGGAGGAACACCGGUGGCGAAGGCGGCAUCCUGGACCGGUAUUGACGCUGAUGCGCGAAAGCCAGGGGAGCAAACGGG